GGUCAAGCUCUUAAGUGUGCAUGGUGGAUGCCUUGGCGUGCAGAGGCGAUGAAGGACGUUGUAGGCUGCGAUAAGCUCCGGGGAGCCGCCAAACAGGCUUCGAUCCGGAGAUCUCCGAAUGAGGCAACUCGUUGCCACUACGCAAGUAGAUGGCAUCACUUCCGGCUGAAUGCAUAGGCUGGAUAGAGCGAACCCAGGGAACUGAAACAUCUCAG
rnacentral:rRNA from 1 species